UACAGAGGGUGCAAGCGUUGUUCGGAAUCAUUGGGCGUAAAGGGCGUGCAGGCGGUUUGUUAAGUGCAGGGUGAAAGCUCCCGGCUCAACUGGGAGAGGUCCUUGCAUACUGGCGAACUCGAGGGAGGCAGAGGAAAGUGGAAUUCCCGGUGUAGUGGUGAUAUGCGUAGAUAUCGGGAGGAACACCAGUGGCGAAGGCGGCUUUCUGGGCCUUACCUGACGCUGAGACGCGAAAGCGUGGGGAGCGAACCGG
rnacentral:rRNA from 1 species